rnacentral:rRNA from 1 species
ACUCCUCGGGAGGCAGCAGUGGGGAAUAUUGCACAAUGGGGGAAACCCUGAUGCAGCCAUGCCGCGUGUGUGAAGAAGGCCUUCGGGUUGUAAAGCACUUUCAGUAGGGAGGAAGGUAGUGUAGUUAACACCUGCAUUAUUUGACGUUACCUACAGAAGAAGCACCGGCUAACUCCGUGCCAGCAGCCGCGGUAAUACGGAGGGUGCGAGCGUUAAUCGGAAUUACUGGGCGUAAAGCGCAUGCAGGCGGCCUGUUAAGUCAGAUGUGAAAGCCCGGGGCUUAACCUCGGAAUUGCAUUUGAAACUGGCAGGCUAGAGUCUUGUAGAGGGGGGUAGAAUUUCAGGUGUAGCGGUGAAAUGCGUAGAGAUCUGAAGGAAUACCAGUGGCGAAGGCGGCCCCCUGGACAAAGACUGACGCUCAGAUGCGAAAGCGUGGGGAGCAAACAGGAUUAGAUACCCUGGUAGCAC